CAGGCCUGGCUGAAGGAACUGGCCCUCUGGGAGCAGUGAGGAGACGUGCGUCCUCAUCAAGUCACAACAGCCUGGUUCCAGCCUGCGGAGGGAGCAAGAAACAGCCUGAAAUCCUGAAAGCGCCCACAGCACCAGAGGGGCACUCUCCAUACAGAAGGAAACAUGGCAGCCGACAGCUUCCAAGUUUUCCUCUUACGGCUUCCACUGACAGACGUGGUUCCACGUACAAAAAACCCUGGUAUGGGAAUCAUGUGCCCUGCUCAGUCCAGGGUCGUGAGCAAGGGUCACGAGGCCAGAGCAGCUGC